rnacentral:rRNA from 1 species
AUUGAACGCUGGCGGCAGGCCUAACACAUGCAAGUCGAACGGUAGCACAGAGGAGCUUGCUCCUUGGGUGACGAGUGGCGGACGGGUGAGUAAUGUCUGGGAAACUGCCCGAUGGAGGGGGAUAACUACUGGAAACGGUAGCUAAUACCGCAUAACGUCGCAAGACCAAAGAGGGGGACCUUCGGGCCUCUUGCCAUCGGAUGUGCCCAGAUGGGAUUAGCUAGUAGGUGGGGUAACGGCUCACCUAGGCGACGAUCCCUAGCUGGUCUGAGAGGAUGACCAGCCACACUGGAACUGAGACACGGUCCAGACUCCUACGGGAGGCAGCAGUGGGGAAUAUUGCACAAUGGGCGCAAGCCUGAUGCAGCCAUGCCGCGUGUAUGAAGAAGGCCUUCGGGUUGUAAAGUACUUUCAGCGAGGAGGAAGGCAUUAAGGUUAAUAACCUUAGUGAUUGACGUUACUCGCAGAAGAAGCACCGGCUAACUCCGUGCCAGCCGCCGCGGUAAAAGGG